AUUGAACGCUGGCGGCAGGCCUAACACAUGCAAGUCGAGCGGAGCGGCGAACGGGUGAGUAACGCGUGAGUAACUGCCCCCCUCUCUGGGAUAACAGUUGGAAACGGCUGCUAAUACCGGAUAGUGGGGGAUGACUCGCGUCCUAUCAGCUUGUUGGUGGGGUAGUGGCCUACCAAGGCGAAGACGGGUAGCCGGCCUGCGAGGGGGACCGGCCGACUUGGGCUGAGGUACGGGCCAAGCUCCGACGGGGGGCAGCAGUGGGGAAUAUUGCACAAUGGGGGAAACCCUGAUGCAGCAACGCGCGUGCGGGAUGACGGCCUUCGGGUUGUAAACCGCUUUCAGCCAUGACGCGGUAGUGGAAGAAGAAGCACCGGCUAACUACGUGCCAGCAGCCGCGGUAAUUC
rnacentral:rRNA from 1 species